GUUCUCUCCGAAAUAGCUUUAGGGCUAGCCUCAAGUGAUGAUUAUUGGAGGUAGAGCACUGUUUGGACGAGGGGCCCCUCUCGGGUUACCGAAUUCAGACAAACUCCGAAUGCCAAUUAAUUUAACUUGGGAGUCAGAACAUGGGUGAUAAGGUCCGUGUUCGAAAGGGAAACAGCCCAGACCACCAGCUAAGGUCCCAAAAUAUAUGUUAAGUGGAAAAGGAUGUGGCGUUGCCCAGACAACUAGGAUGUUGGCUUAGAAGCAGCCAUCAUUUAAAGAGUGCGUAAUAGCUCACUAGUCGAGUGACACUGCGCCGAAAAUGUACCGGGGCUAAACAUAUUACCGAAGCUGUGGAUUGUCCUUUGGACAAUGGUAGGAGAGCGUUCUAAGGGCGUUGAAGCAUGAUCGUAAGGACAUGUGGAGCGCUUAGAAGUGAGAAUGCCGGUGUGAGUAGCGAAAGACGGGUGAGAAUCCCGUCCACCGAUUGACUAAGGUUUCCAGAGGAAGGCUCGUCCGCUCUGGGUUAGUCGGGUCCUAAGCUGAGGCCGACAGGCGUAGGCGAUGGAUAACAGGUUGAUAUUCCUGUACCACCUAUAAUCGUUUUAAUCGAUGGGGGGACGCAGUAGGAUAGGCGAAGCGUGCGAUUGGAUUGCACGUCUAAGCAGUAAGGCUGAGUAUUAGGCAAAUCCGGUACUCGUUAAGGCUGAGCUGUGAUGGGGAGAAGACAUUGUGUCUUCGAGUCGUUGAUUUCACACUGCCGAGAAAAGCCUCUAGAUAGAAAAUAGGUGCCCGUACCGCAAACCGACACAGGUAGUCAAGAUGAGAAUUCUAAGGUGAGCGAGCGAACUCUCGUUAAGGAACUCGGCAAAAUGACCCCGUAACUUCGGGAGAAGGGGUGCUCUUUAGGGUUAACGCCCAGAAGAGCCGCAGUGAAUAGGCCCAAGCGACUGUUUAUCAAAAACACAGGUCUCUGCUAAACCGUAAGGUGAUGUAUAGGGGCUGACGCCUGCCCGGUGCUGGAAGGUUAAGAGGAGUGGUUAGCUUCUGCGAAGCUACGAAUCGAAGCCCCAGUAAACGGCGGCCGUAACUAUAACGGUCCUAAGGUAGCGAAAUUCCUUGUCGGGUAAGUUCCGACCCGCACGAAAGGCGUAACGAUUUGGGCACUGUCUCAACGAGAGACUCGGUGAAAUCAUAGUACCUGUGAAGAUGCAGGUUACCCGCGACAGGACGGAAAGACCCCGUGGAGCUUUACUGUAGCCUGAUAUUGAAAUUCGGCACAGCUUGUACAGGAUAGGUAGGAGCCUUUGAAACGUGAGCGCUAGCUUACGUGGAGGCGCUGGUGGGAUACUACCCUAGCUGUGUUGGCUUUCUAACCCGCACCACUUAUCGUGGUGGGAGACAGUGUCAGGCGGGCAGUUUGACUGGGGCGGUCGCCUCCUAAAAGGUAACGGAGGCGCUCAAAGGUUCCCUCAGAAUGGUUGGAAAUCAUUCAUAGAGUGUAAAGGCAUAAGGGAGCUUGACUGCGAGACCUACAAGUCGAGCAGGGUCGAAAGACGGACUUAGUGAUCCGGUGGUUCCGCAUGGAAGGGCCAUCGCUCAACGGAUAAAAGCUACCCCGGGGAUAACAGGCUUAUCUCCCCCAAGAGUUCACAUCGACGGGGAGGUUUGGCACCUCGAUGUCGGCUCAUCGCAUCCUGGGGCUGUAGUCGGUCCCAAGGGUUGGGCUGUUCGCCCAUUAAAGCGGUACGCGAGCUGGGUUCAGAACGUCGUGAGACAGUUCGGUCCCUAUCCGUCGUGGGCGUAGGAAAUUUGAGAGGAGCUGUCCUUAGUACGAGAGGACCGGGAUGGACAUACCUCUGGUGUACCAGUUGUCGUGCCAACGGCAUAGCUGGGUAGCUAUGUGUGGACGGGAUAAGUGCUGAAAGCAUCUAAGCAUGAAGCCCCCCUCAAGAUGAGAUUUCCCAACUUCGGUUAUAAGAUCCCUC
rnacentral:rRNA from 1 species